GCGAAUGUAACCAAGUGGUAAGGUAAUGAUUUGUGGCAUCAUGAUACGCGGGUUCAAUUCCCGUCGUUCGCCCCA
rnacentral:tRNA from 1 species